AAGUCGUAACAAGGUUUCCGUAGGUGAACCUGCGGAAGGAUCAUUAUAAAAUUUUCUACAUAUUUUAAAUAUGUAAAAAAAUCUUGUAUUCAAAACCCACACUCUUAAAAAACCCAUAAUAAAAAAAUUUUUAUGUUCAUAUAUAAUAUGCAUAAAAUUUUUUUAUAUAAAUUAUAUAUAUAUAAUAUAAUUAAAAGACAACUUUCAACAACGGAUCUCUUGGCUCUCG
rnacentral:misc_RNA from 1 species